AGGUGCGAUCAUACCAGCACUAAUGCACUGGAUUCCAUCAGAACUCCGCAGUGAAGCGUGCUUGGGCGAGAGUAGUACUAGGAUGGGUGACCUCCUGGGAAGUCCUCGUGUUGCACUUC
rnacentral:rRNA from 1 species